rnacentral:rRNA from 1 species
GAUGAACGCUGGCGGCGUGCCUAAUACAUGCAAGUCGAGCGAACAGACGAGGAGCUUGCUCCUCUGACGUUAGCGGCGGACGGGUGAGUAACACGUGGAUAACCUACCUAUAAGACUGGGAUAACUUCGGGAAACCGGAGCUAAUACCGGAUAAUAUAUUGAACCGCAUGGUUCAAUAGUGAAAGACGGUUUUGCUGUCACUUAUAGAUGGAUCCGCGCCGCAUUAGCUAGUUGGUAAGGUAACGGCUUACCAAGGCAACGAUGCGUAGCCGACCUGAGAGGGUGAUCGGCCACACUGGAACUGAGACACGGUCCAGACUCCUACGGGAGGCAGCAGUAGGGAAUCUUCCGCAAUGGGCGAAAGCUUGACGGAGCAACGCCGCGUGAGUGAUGAAGGUCUUCGGAUCGUAAAACUCUGUUAUUAGGGAAGAACAAAUGUGUAAGUAACUAUGCACGUCUUGACGGCACCUAAUCAGAAAGCCACGGCUAACUACGUG